UUUGCUACUGUGUCUUUUUUUUUUUUUUUUUUUUUUUUUUUUGAGACAGAGUCUUGCUCUGUCGCCCAGGCUGGAUUGCAGUGGUGCUAUCUCGGCUCAAUGCAAGCUCCAUCUCCCGGGUUCACACCAUUAUCCUGCCUCAGCCUCCCGAGUAGCUGGGACUACAGGCAUCCGCCACCACACCUGGCUAAUUUUUUGUGUUUUUAGUAGAGACGGGGUUUCACUGUGUUAGUCAGGAUGGUCUCAAUCUCCUGACCUUGUGAUCCACCCACCUCGGCCUCCCAAAGUGCUGGGAUUACAGGCAUGAGCCACCGCACCUGGCCGCUACUGUGUCAUUUUCUAAAGCAUCCUAUGCCAAAGUGUAGAGAAGAAGCAUUGGUUUAAUCAAGUGGUACAUUUUAAAAACUGAAUGGAAUAAUAGAAAAUGAAGAAAUGGAGCCUAUGAUAUUUUGCCUGGUGUGGACUAGAUAUCUUAGUUGACUGAGAUUAAAGAUAUGGAUUAGAAGAGACUGAUAUACAGAGGAGAAUUAGGAGUGUCCUUGUUGAUAAAAGAAUAAAUGCAUUGAGAAUCAGAAGAGAAAGAGGAGUCUUUUUGGCAAAAGGGUGAGUUUAUAUUUAGCAUUUAAAUAGAGCUGUUCAAGGAGAUGACAGAGUGGAGUCUGUUGCAAUUGGAUGGGGAGGCUAAAGUGGAGUGGACUUCCAGGUCACUCAAGUGCUACUAAACUAAGAGACUAACAUGGCUGUUGAGUUAUGCUUACUUCUAUUUUCUGUGAAUAGAUUAACAUUCUAACUGAACUUACUUCUGAAGAAUUUCAUCUUAAAAUUGCCAUUUACUUCUUUCAAAGCUUAAUGAAAAAGUGGAGUAAACUCAUUACCUCUAUUUCAUCAUCAGUCACUUCAUCUGACGGGGUAUUGAUAACUUCUUGUUUUCAAUUUCUAUCUUCCUCAGGGAUAUUUCUACAACAUCUGAAGGCAUUGAUUUUACCUGGUUAGAUAUUAUCUUCUCAAAUUUACUGCACAGCAACGUGCACUCUCAAUUCUCUUCCAUCUCUGAUGAUUAUUUCCACGUCUCCUCUUUGGCAGCUUUCCUUAAGACAUAUCUGUCUAAAUAUACAAGAUUUACU
rnacentral:lncRNA from 1 species